GGAUGUAAGGGCGAUCUGGCUGUGACAUCUGUCACCCCAUUGAUCGCCAGGGUUGCUUCGGCUGAUCUGGCUGGCUAGGCAGGUGUCCCCUUCCUCCCUCACUUCUCCAUGUGCCUCCCUCCCGAAGCUGCGUGCUCAGUUGAAGAGGACGACCUUCUCCGAUAGAGAUGGUACUGUUCUUAUUAAAU
rnacentral:snRNA from 1 species